rnacentral:lncRNA from 1 species
AAAAAAAAACAUAACAAAGUCCAUUUGGAAGAACAAAAGAUCAAGGAUAUCCAGGGAAAUAAUGAAAAAAAUGAGAAGGAAGGUAGCCUUGCAGUCCCAGAAUUCAAACUAUACUAUAAAGCAGUGGUCAUCAAAAUAAUAUGGCAAUGGCUAAGAGACAGAAAGGAGGAUCAGUGGAGUAGGCUUGGGAUUCAUCUCUUCUCCACAGAUCUGACAGGUAUCAGCACCAUAUUUGUGUCAUAAAAACAUUUUGGUUAGAUACAAGCAAAGGAAAGAUGACUAGCUAAUGGAAAUAGACUUCAGUAUGCUAAUGGAAGCAAUGUCCACAUGAGAAGUAAAGUAAAAUACAUCAUUAUCUUCCAUCACUCUACUCUUCUAUUCAUUUGUGUGAAGUAAGAAGGAGAAGACUAGCUGGAUGGAGAGGAGAUUGGAGAACAUCACAAUUCAAGAGUAAUGGAUGGAUGUUUCAGAGAGACCACUUUUGGCUAAAAUGAAAAAAUACAUAAAAAUUAAAGCUAUAUAAAAAUAACUAACUUAAGGAGGUAAUGACUUCCUCAUCAAUGGACAUCUUUAUUUCUUUAUUUUACAUGUAAUUUAAAUUGCCCUUCCCCAGCCUCUUCUCACUGAACAAUAAUAACAGUAGCAGCAGUAACAACAAAAGAAACUCUCAUCAUUAACUUGUAUAAUUUGGCAAAAAUAAAUUCACAUUGGCU